GGGGGGGGCAAGCGUUGUUCGGAAUUACUGGGCGUAAAGGGCUCGUAGGCGGCCAACUAAGUCAGACGUGAAAUCCCUCGGCUUAACCGGGGAACUGCGUCUGAUACUGGAUGGCUUGAGUUUGGGAGAGGGAUGCGGAAUUCCAGGUGUAGCGGUGAAAUGCGUAGAUAUCUGGAGGAACACCGGUGGCGAAGGCGGCAUCCUGGACCAACACUGACGCUGAGUGAGCGAAAGCCAGGGGAGCAAACGGGAUUAGAUACCCCGGUAGUCCUGGCCCUAAACGAUGAAUGCUUGGUGUGGCGGGUAUCGAUCCCUGCCGUGCCGAAGCUAACGCAUUAAGCAUUCCGCCUGGGGAGUACGGUCGCAAGGCUG
rnacentral:rRNA from 1 species